rnacentral:rRNA from 1 species
CACGUAGGGUGCGAGCGUUGUCCGGAAUUAUUGGGCGUAAAGAGCUCGUAGGCGGUUUGUUGCGUCGGCUGUGAAAUCCCGAGGCUCAACCUCGGGUCUGCAGUCGAUACGAGCAAACUAGAGUGUUGCAGGGGAGACUGGAAUUCCUGGUGUAGCGGUGAAAUGCGCAGAUAUCAGGAGGAACACCGGUGGCGAAGGCGGGUCUCUGGGCAACAACUGACGCUGGAGAACACGGAAAGCGUGGGUAGCAAACAGG